rnacentral:rRNA from 1 species
UAACCUACCAUCAGAGGGGGAUAACACUUGGAAACAGGUGCUAAUACCGCAUAACAGUUUAUGCCGCAUGGCAUAAGAGUGAAAGGCGCUUUCGGGUGUCGCUGAUGGAUGGACCCGCGGUGCAUUAGCUAGUUGGUGAGGUAACGGCUCACCAAGGCCACGAUGCAUAGCCGACCUGAGAGGGUGAUCGGCCACACUGGGACUGAGACACGGCCCAG